AGUGAACGCUGGCGGUAGGCCUAACACAUGCAAGUCGGACGGCAGCACAGUAAGAGCUUGCUCUUACGGGUGGCGAGUGGCGGACGGGUGAGGAAUACAUCGGAAUCUACUUUUUCGUGGGGGAUAACGUAGGGCAACUUACGCUAAUACCGCAUACGACCUACGGGUGAAAGCAGGGGAUAUUCGCACCUUGGGCGAUUGAAUGAGACGGCGUCGGACUAGCUAGUUGGCGGGGUAAAGGCCCAACAAGGCAACGCUCCGUAGCUGGGCUGAGAAGGUGAUCAGGCACACUGGAACGAGGACACGGUCCAGACUCCUACGGGAGGCAGCAGUAGGGAAGUUUCCGCAAUGGGCGGAAGCCUGAUACAGCAACAACGCGUGAGUGAAAAAGGUCUUCGGAUCGUAAAACUCUUUUAUUAGGGAAAAAAAAAUGCGGAAGUAACUAUCCACGUCUUGACGGUACCGAAUCAGAAAGCCACGGCGAACUACGUG
rnacentral:rRNA from 1 species